rnacentral:rRNA from 1 species
AUUGAACGCUGGCGGCAGGCCUAACACAUGCAAGUCGAACGAGUGGCGGACGGGUGAGUAAUGUCUGGGAAACUGCCUGAUGGAGGGGGCUAACUACUGGAAACGGUAGCUAAUACCGCAAACCAUCGGAUGUGCCCAGAUGGGAUUAGCUUGUUGGUGGGGUAACGGCUCACCAGGGCGACGCUGCCUAGCUGGUCUGAGAGGAUGACCAGCCACACUGGAACUGAGACACGGUCCAGACGCCUACGGGAGGCAGCAGUGGGGAAUAUUGGACAAUGGGCGCAAGCCUGAUGCAGCCAUGCCGCGUGUAUGAAGAAGGCCUUCGGGUUGUAAAGUACUUUCAGCGGGGAGGCGUUACCCGCAGAAGAAGCACCGGCUAACUCCGUGCCAGCAGCCGCGGUAAUAC